ensembl:lncRNA
GAAGUCUUUUGAACGGCUAGUCCUGUCCCACCUGAAGUCCCUCACCGACCCCCUCCUGGACCCCCUGCAGUUCGCCUACCGAGCCAACAGGUCUGUGGACGAUGCUGUCAACAUGGCCCUCCACUACAUCCUCCAGCAUCUGGACUCCCCAGGAACCUACGCCAGGAUCCUGUUUGUGGACUUCAGCUCUGCUUUUAACACUAUCAUCCCGUCUCUGCUGCAGGACAAACUCUCCCAGCUGCACGUGCCCGACUCCACCUGCAAGUGGGAUCACAGACUUCCUGUCUGACAGGAAGCAGCACGUGAAGCUGGGGAAACAUGUCUCAGCCUCUCGGACCAUCAGCACCGGUUCCCCCCAAGGCUGCGUUCUUUCCCCUCUGCUCUUCUCCCUGUACACCAACAGCUGCACCUCCAGUCAUCAGUCCGUCAAGCUCCUGAAGUUUGCGGAUGACACCACCCUCAUUGGACUAAUCUCUGGUGGGGACGAGUCCGCCUACAGGAGGAACAGAGCCCCACCCUCCCCCAUCACCCCGUGUGACUCCCCCGUCACUAUUGUGGAUUCCUUCCGUUUCCUGGGCUCCAUCAUCACCCAGGACCUCAAGUGGGAGCUGAACAUCAGCUCCAUCACCAAGAAGGCUCAGCAGAGGAUGUUCUUCCGGAGGCAGCUGAAGAAAUUCAACCUGUCAAAGAGGAUGACAAUGCACUUUUACACGGCCAUCAUCGAGUCCAUCCUCUGGUCCUUUAUCACCGUGUGGUAGCGUGUUAUCCGCUCUGCAGAGAGGGUCAUCGGCUGCAAUCUGCCGUCACCUCCAGGACUUGUUUGCUUCCACAACCCUGAAGCGAGUAAGAAAGAUAG